GACGAACGCUGGCGGCGUGCUUAACACAUGCAAGUCGAACGGAAAGGCCCUGCUUUUGUGGGGUGCUCGAGUGGCGAACGGGUGAGUAACACGUGAGUAACCUGCCCUUGACUUUGGGAUAACUUCAGGAAACUGGGGCUAAUACCGGAUAGGAGCUCCUGCUGCAUGGUGGGGGUUGGAAAGUUUCGGCGGUUGGGGAUGGACUCGCGGCUUAUCAGCUUGUUGGUGGGGUAGUGGCUUACCAAGGCUUUGACGGGUAGCCGGCCUGAGAGGGCGACCGGCCACAUUGGGACUGAGAGACGGACCAGACUCCUACGGGAGGCAGCAGUGGGGAAUAUUGCACAAUGGGCGGAAGCCUGAUGCAGCAACGCCGCGUGCGGGAUGACGGCCUUCGGGUUGUAAACCGCUUUCGCCUGUGACGAAGCGUGAGUGACGGUAAUGGGUAAAGAAGCACCGGCUAACUACGUG
rnacentral:rRNA from 1 species